CGCUGGCGGCGUGCUUAACACAUGCAAGUCGAACGAGGAUAUUCCGGAGAGCUUCGGCAGGAAGGGGAUAUCGAGUGGCGGACGGGUGAGUAACGCGUGAACAAUCUGUCCCAGACAGGGGGAUAACACUUGGAAACAGGUGCUAAUACCGCAUAAGACCACGGGGUCGCAUGGUCCAGGGGUAAAAGGAGUGAUCCGGUUUGGGGUGAGUUCGCGUCCGAUUAGCCAGUUGGCGGGGUAACGGCCCACCAAAGCGACGAUCGGUAGCCGACCUGAGAGGGUGAUCAGCCACAUUGGAACUGAGAGACGGUCCAAACUCCUACGGGAGGCAGCAGUGGGGAAUAUUGGGCAAUGGGCGAAAGCCCUGACCCAGCAACGCCGCGUGAGUGAAGAAGGCCUUCGGGUUGUAAAGCUCUGUUACAGGUGACGAAGGAAGUGACGGUAGCUUGUAAGGAAGCCCCGGCUAACUACGUGCCAGCCGCCGC
rnacentral:rRNA from 1 species